rnacentral:rRNA from 1 species
AGGGAAAGUUGCAAAGCACUUUGAAGAGAGAGUUAAAGAGGACGUGAAACCGGUAGGAUGGAAACGGAUAGAGCCAGCGAAGUCGUUCGUAUUCAGCCAAAGGCCUGGGGUAUCGGCGUGUCGAGUUGCUAAUCCCGCUCGGUGUGUCUUUUGCCCUGGGUUGAGGUGCAUUUGCGGACGUUUGCGCUGAGACUUGCGAGUCAGCUUCUGGACCCGCGCCUAGAGGCUGUCCUUUGGGCAGAACUUGGGCACGGCGACGGUUGUUUGGCUUGCUCGUACCGCGGCUUGGCCUACGGACCGGGGCGCUGUCGUUGUCGCUGUGUGAUGGCAUCGCUUGCGAUGACUUGCACGGUGGUUGCGGCGGUGUUUCGCGUUCCCAAGUCGGCUCUCGGUGUAAAAGCUGGUCACCUAUCCGACCCGUCUUGAAACACGGACCAAGGAGUUUAGCGUAUACGCGAGCCAUUGGGUGUUCAAACUCACAGGCACAAUGAAAGUGAAGGUCCAGCCGCUGGACUGACAUGCGAGUCGGUGGGCUCCGGCCUGCCGAUGCAGCAUGGUCCCGUUCCAGUCGCUUGCGACGGAGCGGAGACAGAGCGUAUGCGCUGAGACCCGAAAGAUGGUGAACUAUUCCUGAGCAGGAUGAAGCCAGAGGAAACUCUGGUGGAAGUCCGAAGCGGUUCUGACGUGCAAAUCGAUCGUC